rnacentral:rRNA from 1 species
GAUCCUGGCUCAGGAUGAACGCUAGCUACAGGCUUAACACAUGCAAGUCGAGGGGCAGCAUGGUCUUAGCUUGCUAAGACUGAUGGCGACCGGCGUACGGGUGAGUAACACGUAUCCAACCUGCCGUCUACUCUUGGACAGCCUUCUGAAAGGAAGAUUAAUACAAGAUGGCAUCAUGGGUCCGCAUGUUCACAUGAUUAAAGGUAUUCCGGUAGACGAUGGGG